rnacentral:rRNA from 1 species
ACAAAAAACUAUAAACAAUUGUAAGGACGUUGAUUGUGCGUCCCUUUUAUUGCGACAGUUGGGAUUGACGCAUGCUAGUGUAGUGCUGUGAAGCAUUGCGCGUACAGGGUAGGAAUGCAUGAGAAUAAGCUAAAGUGAUUAUGUUUAAAAUACAAAAAAAUCAAAAGUGUCUUUUUAGGGUUUUCAUGGACGAUUAGGUUGUAUUGUCUGAUAGAUGGUAGCCGAUUAUCGUUAACUGCAUUGAGAGGUAGAGCAGUACCAGCUGUGUAGUAAGCACAGCCGAUCAUUUGAUUGCAGCAGCGCAAAACAUUUGCCAAUGAGCGAAAGCUUGAGCGAACCAAACUGGUAGGGGAAUGAAGGAGAAUUCUGUAAACCCUUAAUGCUAGGGAAUAACUAGAGCGUACCUAGAGAGAAGAACGGACUAAUGCUGGUGCCAGGUGCGACAAGUAUGACUUAAUUAAUAGAGUGCAAUUCUCUUACGCAAAUAACUCUGCGUACCUGUAAACUCACAUGCGUGCUGAGCCCUUGGUUUAGCGCGUAUGAAGACCGGGCUAACGGGAAUGUGUGUAUGGUAAAUAAAGUGAAUUGGCGUAAGCUUAUGUGGUAGGGCAGCGCGUCUGGCUCGUGUUGUUGAGUUUUCAAAAAUCGCAAAAGCAUAGCCAAUACCUAAGCACACAAUAGAUUGUGAUUAAGUAUGAACUUGGUAAGCCUUAUAGGUUCUAAAUAAUACAUGUUAUUUAGAGGGCCGUUCGUAAGAUGGGCUAUCACCUAGAAGGUAGAAGAUAAAGCAAAAAGCGAAUGUGGUGCUGUAAUGGCGCCGAUAAAUACAAUUGUAUUAACCUGAAAGGGUGCUAACUUGCUUUUGGUGUCUUUUAAUAAAUAUUU